rnacentral:rRNA from 1 species
UGCCUCAGUAACGGCGAGUGAAGCGGCAACAGCUCAAAUUUGAAAUCUGGCGCCUUGGGCGUCCGAGUUGUAAUUUGUAGAGGGUGUCUCGGGUGGAGUUUCCGGUCCAAGUUCCUUGGAACAGGAGGCCAGAGAGGGUGAGAGUCCCGUAUCCGGCUGGAGACGUCGCCCGUGUGAGACCCCUUCGACGAGUCGAGUUGUUUGGGAAUGCAGCUCCAAAUGGGUGGUAAAUUCCAUCUAAAGCUAAAUACGGGCCAGAGACCGAUAGCGCACAAGUAGAGUGAUCGAAAGAUGAAAAGCACUUUGAAAAGAGAGUCAAACAGUACGUGAAAUUGUUGAAAGGGAAGCGUAUACGGCCAGACUUGGGCGCGGAGGCUCAACCCGUCUUCUGGCGGGUGCACUCCUCCGCGGACAGGCCAGCAUCGGUUUGGGCGGCCGGACAAAGGCGUCGGGAACGUAGCACCCCUCGGGGUGUGUUAUAGCCCGGCGCGUCAUGCGGCCAGCCGGGACCGAGGACCGCGUUUAAUCACGGAUGCUGGCGUAAUGGGCGUAUACGGCCCGUCUUGAAACACGGACCAAGGAGUCUAACAUCUAUGCGAGUGUUUGGGUGGCAAGCCCGGGCGCGCAAUGAAAGUGAACGGAGGUGGGAGGGCAACCGCACCAUCGACCGAUCCCGAAGUUUACGGAAGGAUUUGAGUAAGAGCAUAGCUGUUGGGACCCGAAAGAUGGUGAACUAUGCGUGAAUAGGGUGAAGCCAGAGGAAACUCUGGUGGAGGCUCGCAGCGGUUCUGACGUGCAAAUCGAUCGUCAAAUUUGCGUAUAGGGGCGAAAGACUAAUCGA